rnacentral:rRNA from 1 species
CACACUGGAACUGAGACACGGUCCAGACUCCUACGGGAGGCAGCAGUGGGGAAUAUUGCACAAUGGGCGCAAGCCUGAUGCAGCCAUGCCGCGUGUAUGAAGAAGGCCUUCGGGUUGUAAAGUACUUUCAGCGGGGAGGAAGGGAGUAAAGUUAAUACCUUUGCUCAUUGACGUUACCCGCAGAAGAAGCACCGGCUAACUCCGUGCCAGCAGCCGCGGUAAUACGGAGGGUGCAAGCGUUAAUCGGAAUUACUGGGCGUAAAGCGCACGCAGGCGGUUUGUUAAGUCAGAUGUGAAAUCCCCGGGCUCAACCUGGGAACUGCAUCUGAUACUGGCAAGCUUGAGUCUCGUAG